CAGCCGUAAACUAUGCGCGUUAGGUGUAUCGGUGACCACGAGUCACCGAGGUGCCGAAGGGAAACCGUGAAACGUGCCGCCUGGGAAGUACGGUCGCAAGGCUGAAACUUAAGGAUUGGCGGGGGAGCACCACAACGGGUGGAGCCUGCGGUUUAAUUGGACUCAACGCCGGGAAGCUCACCGGAUAAGACAGCGGAAUGAUUGCCGGGCUGAAGACUCUGCAUGACUAGCUGAGAGGAGGUGCAUGGCGUAGACGUCU
rnacentral:rRNA from 1 species